AAAGCCUAAACGACCACCACCGUAACCAGCAUAGAGCAAUGAUGAGCUCUCUUUCAGAUCCCUUCUAACUUUUCCGGUAAACUUAUAUUCUUCAUGCUCUUUACUUUUGAUCAAAGCAAGGAGUUUUUUGGUUGUUUUGGUAUACUUCGUGCCUGCUAAUCUGUGUUUUUGGGUGUUCUUGUUUCUGGGUUCUUCAUUUUGUUCAAGAUAGUGCAUUUGAUUCUUUUAUCAACGUCUGGGUAUUGUGUUUUUGAGUAUUUUUUGAUGAUGGUGCCUUGAGAAAAGGGUUUUGAUAGCUGGGUAUGGUUCUGUUUGAUGAAAGUCCUUUUAGAGUUGUUGUUCAUUGGCCGGAUUCAUGUUUCUGGGAUUCUCAGUUUUCUUAAAUUGUUGAACAAUAUUUUGAUACAUUGGCGUCGUAUGGAUGAAAAGAUAUCAGAACAUGUUAUCUCUGCGACCAAUUCGCAGAUUUUGUCAUGCUGCUUUUGCUUCUGGUUCUGCUGCCAUUGCAUCAAAAACUGAUACUUCUGCAGCUUUCUCAAAGCAACCAUCAAACAUAAUACCUUUACAAGAAAGUGCCCUUUCCAAGCUUAAAGCUGAAAGAGACCCUGAUAAGUUGUUCGCUUUAUUCAAGGCUAAUUCCCACAAUAAACUUGUCAUUGAGAAUAGGUUUGCAUUUGAAGAUACAAUUGAUAGAUUAGCCGGGGCUGGCCACUUUGAUUACAUUGAGCAUUUACUUGAGCACCAGAAAACUCUUCCACAGGGUAGACGAGAAGGAUUCAUUAUGAGGAUUAUAACGUUGUAUGGUAAGGCUGGGAUGAUAAAGCAUGCUAUGGACACUUUUUAUGAUAUGCAUUUGUAUGGAUGUAAGAGAACUGUUAAAUCAUUCAAUGCUGCACUAAAUGUUUUGAUUCAAACUCGUGAUUUAAGAGCUAUUGAGGCAUUUCUCACCGAUGUUCCACCAAAAUUCAUUGUUGAGUUGGAUACAUAUACAGUCAAUAUAGUUGUCAAGGCGUUCUGUGAAAUGGAUUUUCUGGAUAGAGCAUAUUUGGUAAUGGUACAGAUGGAAAGGCUUGGAAUAAAGCCAGAUGUCAUUACGUAUACAACACUCAUUUCAGCAUUCUAUCAGAAAAACUGGUGUGAGAUUGGUAACGGGUUGUGGAAUCUUAUGGUGUAUAAGGGGUGCAGACCUAAUCUUACAACUUUUAACGUUAGGAUCCAGUAUUUGAUUAAUAGGAGACUGGCAUGGCAAGCUAAUGAUGUGAUGCGUUUGAUGCAGAAAAUUGGGAUAGACCCUGAUGAGGUUACUUACAAUUUGGUAAUCAAAGGUUUUUGCCAGGCCGGUUAUCUUGAAAUGGCUAAAAGGGUUUAUUCUUCUCUAGAAUGUCAUAGCGAGUACAAGCCCAAUGUUAAGAUUUACCAGACCAUGAUUCAUUAUCUCUGCAAAGGAGGGGAGUACAAUUUGGCCUAUACAAGGUGUAAAGACUGCAUGAGGAAGAAUUGGUUUCCAAAUGUGGAUACUAUUCAUUCACUCCUCCAAGGUCUUAUGAAAAAUGGGCAACUGGGCAAGGCUAAGAUGAUUUUGACAUUGGUUAGGAGUCGGAUACCACCCUUUUCCUCUACUCAAUUGGAUUCUUUGCAAUCUGUUUUAUCAAAAGACUAAAUCAAGAUGACGGAAUGAAAAAGGAUCAGUUUGAUUAUGUAAAAACACAGCUUAAAAGAAGCUGAUAUUUCUUUUACCCCAUGCAGUUGUAGUUUCAUGAAACAAAUUGGAGAUAGAUUUUAAUGGCUAACAUCAAAGCAAACACGGAUCCCAUUUUUAUUGAAUUAAUUUGUUGUACCACCUCUACAAGUCCUUGAUGAAUGAGAAUUCUAAUGCAUAGCAGAAAUCAAAAUUCUCCUUCAAUGAUGAAGGAUAGAAUGGCCAUGGAAAGAAGGAAAACUCUUCUGAAUUAGAUAUGAUCAGAUGCUAAAUCAGAUUGGGAGGUGCACUUGGAGGCUUUCUCUAUUGAUGUUUGGUGUUGGCCACUAAAUUGUUAAAGAAUUUGAGGUUGGUUUCUUGAAUGAAGUGCAUUUCAAGGCUCUAAGAAGGGUUCAAUGAAAGAAUUGGUAAAGGGUUCAGCCCCUUAAGUUUCACUCAGUGAGAUUGCAAGACGGGAAAACAUUUGGGUUUUCCUUCAGUCCGACAGUGGGUUAGGCUUGAGACAUUGUCACAAUUGUUUGCUUAGUGUGCUUGGCAGUAGUUUUAUGGGCUGGAUGAACGAUAUGGCUUUUCGUAAUGCUUUGUAAAGAUUAGAGAGAGCAAUCCCACUACUAUAAUAUCAGAAUGGCUGGUUUUCCUUCUUUUUUUUUUUAAUAGGAAAAAGUUGUAGAUUUGAGGAGCUUGUUCUUUGUAUGCUUCCAUGAAUGAAACGUUCAUCCUUUGUUUUUAUCCUUAUUUUUCGGAAAGAGCCAUUCACUCUUCUUUACUUCAAAAAAGAAAAAAAAAUUUGCAUUGUUGGUAUCAUGGAAAUAGAAAGGCACUAACUUUAAGUUUAAGUCAUUAAAAGUUCUGAAUUUCACUAUGACAUUAAGAACUUUAGAAGGUAAAAUUUUCUCUUGAGAGGCAAAGUUUUCCAACAUUCUUGCUAGAAGCCCAAGUGCAGAAGAAAUUUGAAGUUAAAGAUUGUGGCUCCCCAAAUGAUCAUUAUUUUAAACCCCAUAAAGCCCCCUAAUAAAACUCACAUCUCUUUUCUCUUUUCCCUUCUCCUCCUCCUCGCGUCUAAAUCCCUUCUCUCCGGCAUCAAACCUCUCCACACCCCAAAAUGAUGUCCACCUUCACCGUUUCGCGUCCCACCCCACCUAAAAAACCUCAUCAAUGAAACCAUCCAAAUCCUCAAAACCCACCC